AUAAACCUUAACCAUUCUUUAUAAAAUGUGUGCUUCCCUCAAUCAAGAAACACGGAAACAACAAACAAUAAGCACAUCGGCAGUAAAAAAUUUGUAAACACUUUAUAUGAGAGUUAAUUUAGAAAAUCCAAAAUCCUUUUGUUUGUAACCUAACCUAGUAAUGGUUGUCUUCCUCAACAAUUUGACUGUACAAAGCUAGAUGGUUGAGAAGAUUGAACACAAUUAGUGCGCCUAGUAGGUGUUUAAGUGUAAGUCUGAUUUUGUAGUGAACUAGUUGAUUAAAUCCUUCAGGUUGAAGGGAUUUGAUGUGGUAAAUCAGGAUAAAUUGUGUUUCUUUACCUUAUUUUCUUUUAUCUACAGUGAUUUACCCAUGUAAAAAAGUCUUUUAAUUAGAAAACACAAUUAAUUCAUUCUAUUUAUUGUGUUUUUCCUUCUACAAAUCCAACCUAAUGGACGCCAUCAACUUGGUUCUCGGCAUCAAAAUCGGACAACUAUGUGGCGCAGAACUAAAAAAUCUCAUCUAGGCCUUAGCGAAAAAGAGAGAGAGAGAGAGAGCAGAAAGGACAUAUAACAUUUAUUCACUUGGUUUAUCAACUCGCCAACAACUCCAACAUCAAAGUCACUAGAACCAUCACCUCCGUUGGCGCCAAUGAGCACAGCUUCGACGGGGAUAACCAAAUAAUUAUUUGGUAAAGCUGCUAAAGGAAGAAGAUGCUGGAUUGUCCGAUUUUGGGGUUUAUUAGUUUAAGAUCCACUAAGUUGUAAUUUUUUUAUAUAUUUAAGUCUAAACAUAACUAAAAUGAUGUCAUGCGAUGUGUACACCACUCUUUCUUAACACAUAAUUAACUAUAAUGACUAAUUUUGAAAAUGAUCAAAAUAAGA